GCCAGUGUGGUAUAGUGGUUUGAGUGUUGGAUUAUGAAUCUGAAACCAAGGUUUGAAUCCCUGUGCUUGGCC